rnacentral:rRNA from 1 species
AACGAACGCUGGCGGCAGGCCUAACACAUGCAAGUCGAGCGAGGACUUCGGUCCUAGCGGCGGACGGGUGAGUAACGCGUGGGAACGUGCCCUUUGCUUCGGAAUAGCCCUGGGAAACUGGGAGUAAUACCGGAUGAGCCCUUAGGGGGAAAGAUUUAUCGGCGAAGGAUCGGCCCGCGUUGGAUUAGGUAGUUGGUGGGGUAAUGGCCUACCAAGCCGACGAUCCAUAGCUGGUUUGAGAGGAUGAUCAGCCACACUGGGACUGAGACACGGCCCAGACUCCUACGGGAGGCAGCAGUGGGGAAUCUUAGACAAUGGGGGAAACCCUGAUCUAGCCAUGCCGCGUGAGCGAUGAAGGCCUUAGGGUUGUAAAGCUCUUUCAGCUGGGAAGAUAAUGACGGUACCAGCAGAAGAAGCCCCGGCUAACUCCGUG